AAGAACUUAACCCGUGAUUGCUGGGGCUGGCUCUCGCUCCUCCAGGGGCCGUCGUUCUUUUACAAAGAGGGGUGGAGGUUGUUGUUGCUUUUUUUUUUUCUUUAUGAAUGGAGGGCGGCGGCGACUGCUGCAGCUGGCUCAGCUGCGCGGGUUGUACCCCCUCCCAGCCUGCGAGAGGAGGAAGCUAGUGGAGGACCUGCACCAACAAAACCAAGGAGUAAAUCAAGAGAGUAGAUACCAUGGAAAUAACUGCGUAGAGCUCAGACUGAGGAAGAAGGAAGCAGAAUUAAAGAAAGAAAAAAGAGAAGAAAGAAAGAAAGAAAAAAAGAAAGAGGCCCAGAUGAAUGGAAGGAAGGAAUUUCAUCUGUCUUGACCUGUCUGUACAGCAGCCAACACAAGGGCAUAUAUAAGGAAACUGUGAAUCAAAGACGUCAAAUGACUUGUUCAAGGUCACACAGCUAUGAUGGGACAAGACUUUUAUUAGGUGGCUGUUACUGGAAGCCCUCAGCAGUCCAAGACACUUACAUGGCCCACCUCAUUCCUAGGUGCAAGGCAGGGGAAGUCCUUAGAGGUCAGACAGAGGUCAAGGUGCCAAGUGCUUGAAGGGUAUAUGCUCAGCACUCCUGAAGUGAGCGGAGGUUCUAAGACAGAUUUAUCCCCAAAGGAUGCCUCUAGGCUCCUGGGUCCGUGGCCAUCUGUACAGCAGAGCUCACAGGCCUAGCUACCUCUCUCUCUCUGUGGGGAGGUGUCCCUGCUUUGGCAGGCCGACUCAGGAGGUCUCUCAGUAGGACAGAGGCCACCGAGGCCUGCUGAAUGGAGCUGUGCAGUUUAGAAAUAUUUGCUUUAGGCUGCACGAGCCAAGGAGAGCCUGAAGGGGCAGAGCAAGGAGGCAGGGCUGGGGGAUGCCAUUUGCUUUCAGAGAGUUGCGAGCCCCAGGGCCUAGGUUUUUCAGGUCCCACCACCAAGAAGCUUCAAGGACUCUCCCAGCCCGUCUGUUCAUUUGGAAGCAAGCAUCAGAAUAACACGGGCUCCCUCACGAGGUCGGGCGGACAGGUUUCAUUGCUGCUCCAGCGACAUCUGCCUUUUUGAGGGGGGGAAGAAAAAGGAUCCCUAACAGAUGGAGACAGA